GUUUUAACCAGUGCAAGCAAAUUUUGGUAGUUAAUAGAAUACUAGUAUCAAUGAAGUACAUAAAUAAACAGUCACUAGUGGAAAAGGGGAUCUUAAUGACCCACACCCCCGACCUCAGUGGCGGUCAAUGGACCGUGGACCGGUCAAGACGGUCCUAUAUUUAAUAAAAAUGCGGAGCACAACCAGUGUUAAAAACGGUCGUUGUAUAAAUUUUUUAAUUACGUUUAUAUCCCCGAGUCAACAACCCACACCGCGACUGCGUUACCUAGUUAAAUCAGUGCUACUUUUUUUAGGUAGGACCUUCCUUUUCUCACCAGCGUUAUCUCUUCUCUGCAUCCUCUUUAUCUCUCCUCACCAGCGUUAAUAGAUGCUAUCUCCUCCACAUCCUUUCUAUCUCUCCUCGUAGAGAAAGUCAUUCGUAGAGAAAAAACCAGACCACCCAAAAUUUCUCCUCCACACUCAGAACUCCACCAUAGAAACCUAAUUAAGCCCUUAUAUCAGAAAACCUCACUAAGAUUAACCUUUUACAUCUCUCAAUUGUACAACAGUUGGGUUUAAUUUUCAAAAUCAUCAUGUAAAGGUAAAUCUCAACAGCUCUAGUUGCAGUUCUUCAUCAGGUGGAUUUGAACAGCUUAAGUUGCAGUUCAGAUUUUCAUCAUGUACAGGUACAUUAGGAUUUUAUUCG